rnacentral:rRNA from 1 species
ACGUAGGGGGCAAGCGUUGUCCGGAUUUAUUGGGCGUAAAGAGCGUGUAGGCGGCCAGACAGGUCAGCUGUGAAAACUCGAGGCUCAACCUCGAGACGUCGGUUGAAACCGUUUGGCUAGAGUCCGGAAGAGGAGAGUGGAAUUCCCGGUGUAGCGGUGAAAUGCGCAGAUAUCGGGAAGAACACCCGUGGCGAAGGCGGCUCUCUGGGACGGUACUGACGCUGAGACGCGAAAGCGUGGGGAGCGAACAGGAUUAGAUACCCUGGUAGUCCACGCCGUAAACGAUGGGCACUAGGUGUGGCGGGUAUCGACUCCCGCUGUGCCGAAGCUAACGCAUUAAGUGCCCCGCCUGGGGAGUACGGCCGCAAGGCUA